GAUGAAGAACGUAGCGAAAUGCGAUAAGUAGUGUGAAUUGCAGAAUUCCGUGAAUCAUCGAAUCUUUGAACGCACAUUGCGCCUUCUGGUAUUCCGGAAGGCAUGCCUGUUCGAGAGUCAUUAACAACCGUUUCGAUCCCUUUCUUUCAGAAAUUACAAAGAGGAAAAGGGUUUGGUUAUGGUGGAGGAGGGAAAGGGAGCGUUUAGCCUGUAAAAAAAGAGGCUGUGUUCCGCCUCCCCCCCAAAAUUGUACAGGCGGUCGUGUGCGCCCACGCAUCGAGGUGUUGUAAAAGCUGCCACGGCACUUUUCAGCUGUGCAGUGCGAGAUUGGCCAGCCGGUUUAAAAACCCCUCCAAACAAUCAAAGGUUGACCUCGGAUCAGGUAGGGAUACCCGCUGAACUUAAGCAUAUCAAUAAGCGGAGGA
rnacentral:misc_RNA from 1 species